CAUUAAAACUUUUCAGCUAGAGUAUGAUAGAGGAAAGCAGAAUUUCUAGUGUAGAGGUGAAAUUCGUAGAUAUUAGAAAGAAUACCAAUUGCGAAGGCAGCUUUCUGGAUCAUUACUGACACUGAGGAACGAAAGCAUGGGUAGCGAAGAGGAUUAGAUACCCUCGUAGUCCAUGCCGUAAACGAUGUGUGUUAGACGUUGGAAAUUUAUUUUCAGUGUCGCAGCGAAAGCGAUAAACACACCGCCUGGGGAGUACGACCGCAAGGUUAAAACUCAAAUGAAUUGACGGGGACCCGCACAAGUAGUGGAGCAUGUGGUUUAAUUCGAAGAUACGCGCAGAACCUUACCAACACUUGACAUGUUCGUCGCGACUCUAAGAGAUUAGAGUUUUCGGUUCGGCCGGACGAAACACAGGUGCUGCAUGGCUGUCGUCAGCUCGUGUCGUGAGAUGUUGGGUUAAGUCCCGCAACGAGCGCAACCCUCACUUUUAGUUGCCAUCAUUAAGUUGGGCACUCUGAAAGAACUGCCAGUGAUAAGCUGGAGGAAGGUGGGGAUGACGUCAAGUCCUCAUGGCCCUUACGUGUUGGGCUACACACGUGCUACAAUGGUAUCUACAACAGGAAGCAAGACUGCGAAGUUAAGCAAAUCCCUAAAAGAUACCUCAGUUCGGAUUGCACUCUGCAACUCGAGUGCAUGAAGCUGGAAUUACUAGUAAUCGUGGAUCAGCGUGCCACGGUGAAUGCGUUCCCGGGUCUUGUACACACCGCCCGUCACACCAUGGGAGUUGGUUCUACCUUAAGGCAAGGUUUCAAACCCUUGACCACGGUAUAGUCAGCGACUGGGGUGAAGUCGUAACAAGGUAACCGUA
rnacentral:rRNA from 1 species